rnacentral:rRNA from 1 species
CCAGACUCCUACGGGAGGCAGCAGUGAGGAAUAUUGGUCAAUGGGCGGGAGCCUGAACCAGCCAAGUCGCGUGAGGGAUGACGGCCCUAUGGGUUGUAAACCUCUUUUGCCGGGGAGCAAAGUGCCGCACGUGUGCGGUUUGGAGAGUACCCGGAGAAAAAGCAUCGGCUAACUCCGUGCCAGCAGCCGCGGUAAUACGUAGGGGGCAAGCGUUAUCCGGAUUUACUGGGUGUAAAGGGAGCGUAGACGGCAGGGCAAGUCUGGAGUGAAAGCCCGGGGCCCAACCCCGGGACUGCUUUGGAAACUGCCAUGCUAGAGUGCUGGAGAGGUAAGCGGAAUUCCUAGUGUAGCGGUGAAAUGCGUAGAUAUUAGGAGGAACACCAGUGGCGAAGGCGGCGUACUGGACAGUAACUGACGUUGAGGCUCGAAAGCGUGGGGAGCAAACAGGAUUAGAUACCCCAGUAAAA